rnacentral:rRNA from 1 species
AUGGCGCCGCCAUCCUCCGAUGAGCCGGCCGCCGCCUCCGGGGCCGGCGCCAUCUCCAAGGUCCUCGUCGUCAUAGUUCCUAAAGGUGCCCCUUGGACUCGGUACCAUGGCGACUACAAAGGCCUCCACAUCGAUCUCGUCUGGCCUGGAAAAGACCCUGUGCUUGGGGUUGACAGUGUUGGUACAGUAUCCGCAGCUCUUGUGACUUAUGCUUCUAUACAAUUGUUGAAGCCAGACCUUAUCAUCAACGCUGGUACUGCUGGUGGUUUUAAGGCCAGAGGAGCAGGUAUUGGGGAUGUCUUCUUAGCUUCAGAUGUUGCUUUCCAUGACAGGAGAAUACCCAUUCCUGUCUUUGACAGUUAUGGAAUUGGAGCACGAAAAACAUUUGAAACCCCGAAUAUAGUGAAGGAACUCAAUUUGAAGGUUGGGAAACUGUCAACUGGUGAUUCUCUGGAUAUGUCCCCCCAUGAUGAGACAGCAAUACUGAGCAAUGAAGCUACAGUCAAGGAUAUGGAGGGAGCAGCGGUGGCAUAUGUUGCUGACUUGUUCUCGACACCUGCUAUCUUUGUCAAAGCUGUGACUGACAUUGUUGAUGGGGAGAAGCCAACAGCCGAGGAGUUUCUGCAAAACCUGAUCUCCGUGACGAUGGCGCUUGACCAGGCAGUCAUGCAAGUGGUAGACUUCAUCAGCGGCAAAUGUAUCUCUGAUCUCUGA